GAGAGUAUAGCUCAGUGGUAGAGCAUGUGCUUAACAUGCAUGAGGUCCUGGGUUCAAUACCCAGUACUGCCA
rnacentral:tRNA from 1 species